rnacentral:rRNA from 1 species
UACGUAGGUGGCAAGCGUUGUCCGGAAUUAUUGGGCGUAAAGCGCGCGCAGGCGGUCCUUUAAGUCUGAUGUGAAAGCCCACGGCUCAACCGUGGAGGGUCAUUGGAAACUGGGGGACUUGAGUGCAGGAGAGAAGAGUGGAAUUCCACGUGUAGCGGUGAAAUGCGUAGAGAUGUGGAGGAACACCAGUGGCGAAGGCGACUCUUUGGGCUGUAACUGACGCUGAGGCGCGAAAGCGGGGGGAGCAAACAGG